UGCUGGGUCACCAUUGCGUGUCUUGGAGUCGGGUUGUUUGGGAGCGCAGCCCAAAGUAGGUGGUAAACUUCAUCUAAGACUGAAUAUGACUACGAGUCCGAUAGCGAACAAGUACCGUGAGGGAAAGUUGCAAAGCACUUUGAAGAGAGAGUUAAAGAGGACGUGAAACCGAUGAGGUGGAAACGGACAGAGCUGGCGUAUCUGGCCUGCAUUCAGCCGCUGCGCGUCGGGCCCCGGUUUGCCGCACUCCAGAUUGGGAAGGUGGCUGGGCUGCUGGCGUGCUUGUGGUGCAUUUGCAGGUGGAGUGCGCUGAGGCGCUCGGCUCAGCGGCAUGAGCUCGGCCUUGAGGCCAACCGUGCAAGCGGUCUGGUACCCGGGUCGGGGGAGUGUUGUUUGGGCUGAGUGUUCGCUUGGGCACUGGUUUCGGGCCCGGGUGGGUGCCGAGCUGGCGGUCGACGUCGGUCGCAUGCGACACGUGUCAGCAAUCAGUUCGGUCCUGCUCGAGCUCUCGCGUGYCCGGCCUCGGUGUAAAAGCCGGUCAUCUGUCCGACCCGUCUUGAAACACGGACCAA
rnacentral:rRNA from 1 species